rnacentral:rRNA from 1 species
GAUGAACGCUGGCGGCGUGCCUAACACAUGCAAGUCGAGCGAUUCUCUUCGGAGAAGAGCGGCGGACGGGUGAGUAACGCGUGGGUAACCUGCCCUGUACACACGGAUAACAUACCGAAAGGCAUGCUAAUACGAGAUAAUAUACUUUUAUCGCUUGGUAGAAGUAUCAAAGCUCGGGCGGGACAGGAUGGACCCGCGUCAGAUGAGCUAGUUGGUAAGGUAACGGCUUACCAAGGCGACGAUCAGUAGCCGACCGGGGUGGGUGAUCGGCCACAUAGGAACUGAGACGCGGUCCAAACUGCUACGGGAGGCAGCAGUGGGGAAUAUUGCAGAAUGGGCGAGAGCCUGAUGCAGCAACGCCGCGUGAGCGAUGAAGGCCUUCGGGUCGUAAAGCUCUGUACUCAAGGAAGAUAAUGACGGUACUUGUGGAGGAAGCCCCGGCUAACUACGUGCCAGCCGCCGCAGUAAAAC